GACGAACGCUGGCGGCGUGCUUAACACAUGCAAGUCGAACGAUGAUCCGGUGCUUGCACCGGGGAUUAGCGGCGAACGGGUGAGUAACACGUGAGUAACCUGCCCUUGACUCUGGGAUAAGCCUGGGAAACCGGGUCUAAUACCGGAUACGACCUGUCACCGCGUGGUGGCGGGUGGAAAGAUUUAUUGGUUUUGGAUGGACUCGCGGCCUAUCAGCUUGUUGGUGAGGUAAUGGCUCACCAAGGCGACGACGGGUAGCCGGCCUGAGAGGGUGGCCGGCCACACUGGGACUGAGACACGGCCCAGACCCCUACGGGAGGCAGCAGUGGGGAAUAUUGCACAAUGGGCGAAAGCCUGAUGCAGCGACGCCGCGUGAGGGAUGACGGCCUUCGGGUUGUAAACCUCUUUCAGCAGGGAAGAAGCGAAAGUGACGGUACCUGCAGAAGAAGCGCCGGCUAACUACGUGCCAGCAGCCGCGGUAAUACGUAGGGCGCAAGCGUGGUCCGGAAUUAUUGGGCGUAAAGAGCUCGUAGGCGGUUUGUCGCGUCUGCUGUGAAAGCCCGG
rnacentral:rRNA from 1 species